CGCAUGCGCGCCUCCCUCCGCCGGCAUGGGGGCGGGGCCUCCGUGGGGCGGCCACGCCCCCUCCGGUGCGGGUCCCGCCGCCGGUCCCACGAUUGUCGCACGAUUGUCCCAAAAUCUGCUCUUCCCACCGUUGUGCCAAAGGCCCAUCCACGCUCAGAGUCAAGGGGUUGGAUUUAUUUAUAGUUCUGCACAGAAAGAUGGCUGGGUGACAAAUCCACAAAGCCAGCACGACAGCUGUCAGAAGUUCUUCCUUUUUGUGGACUUUAUCAAACCAAAGAUUGCCCAGAGGCUGUGGAGUCUCCCUCACUGGAGAUAUCCCAGAACCAGCUGGACAUAAUCCUGCGCCUGUGCUCUGGGAUGACCCUGCAUGAGCUGGGAGGUUGGACCAGAUGCACCCUGCUCCCUGACAACCCUACCCAAUCUGUGAUUCUGUUCCUGCCUGAGGACAAGGCCACCAUGGUGCAGGGACCUUGGACACGAGGAGCACGGUUCACCCAGGUCUGUGUGCUGACCACGAGACCACCGUGCUGCCCCUCUCCCCUGAGAGCCCAGCCCCAGCUGGCCACUGGGAAGGGCUGUGCAAUGCCCGGGCACGGGCAGGAGCUCUGCCAGGGUCAGGCACCUUCCGAGGAGGAGCUGGAUCCGGCAGGGCAGGCAGCAGGUGACGGCUCAGGAGCAGGCUGGGAAGCGACAUUGAGGUCCAAGCCGUGUCAUUGCCACGGGUUCAAUUAAAAAUGCACGCUGAGGCUGAGCUAAAAGCUCAGGCACACAACAAGAGAUGAGAUUUAGCUGCGAUUACUGGCAGCAGUCACAUCAUGAAAAUAUCCCAAAGGCAGGCUUUGGAGUCGUGCAGCGAUAAAAGUUAUCCUCUCUGUUCCAGCAGACACUGGCCUCGCUCAGCGUGAAAAGCAAAACAAAGGGAGCUGUGAACACCCUGCAGGCUGACGGAGACUAACGAUCUGGAGGAUUAUCAAAGCUUCUUGGCCAGAGCUCUCAAUAAGUGUAAAAAAUUACAGCAGACUGACCUAUAACUCUGGAAACAAGUAACGGUUUUGAAUUGGCAGAAGGCAGAGACGGCUUCUCCUCCGUGCUACAGUUAGAUCACAACCUCUGGGAAAGCCUUGCCAUCAUUUCUGUCUAGUUGGGAGCCUGGGAGUUAUUGACAUAAUUAUGCCAAUUAGCAGCAUGAUUAUUUCUUUCCCCACUCCUGGGUGAGCAAGCUGUGCCAGGAGGCACUGGAGUAGCUGCCUGGCCUUCCUCCAGCUCGUGGGUUUCUAUGGAGGCUGGAAGUUGGGAAGAACAUUAUGAGUGUCCAGAGCACUUUGUGCUGCCCCCAUGAAAUAAUUAAGAUCCGUGGAAGAGCAGCCUGGCCGUAGGAUUGUGUCUCUACAGGAGACAAAUGAAGAUUGAGAAAGGCACCAUGCCUGGGGAGCAGCACCAUGCACACCUUCAGAUUGAUAAUCCAGGGAAUUGUCCUUUCUGUGAGGUCUUUAAAUUACAGCUUUGUCUGCUUCCAUGAUCAAAAUAAAAUAAAUUAGAAAAAUAACUAAGAUUAAGAAAAGUUUGAGUUAUUCCUGCAAGUCUGGAAGUUUCCAAACCAAAUGUUUUGUCUGGUGAAGCAGAGUUAAAGCC